GAAUGCGAACCGCGCGAGUGCUAAGGAAAAGCCGUUGGAUGUCGGCUCGUCAAAUAAUGCCGAUUUUCGGCUGAAUUUUCGCCCUCGAGUCGACCAGCAGGAGGCCAUGGAUGUUGGAGAAGCUCUUUUAUCCGCAAACAAUGCCAGACCUGACCCGUGCCCGCAGCCUGUUCUCGUGGCGUCGUGACAACAAUGCAACUCGUAACAACUGCGUAGCGCAUACAUACAUUCGCCCUGAAACUUGCGAUCCCCGGCACAGUGAAAUUGCUGAUCUGAAACCUACGCAGGAGUCCAAACCACCAAACCCUCGCUCCCUAACCUGAGCCAACCCCCAAAAGAGCUGCUUAGCAAGGUGGCCGCGCCGCCAACAGUCACAGGUCGUGUUCGCACCUAUGUAAAAGGUUCUUAAUGAAAAAUUUCCUCCUGUUGUCAAUAUUUUGUAAAUUUUAUAUGAAUUAUUAAACAUAGCACCUUGAACCUAAAAA